GACGAACGCUGGCGGCGUGCCUAAUACAUGCAAGUUGAGCGCUGAAGGUUGGUACUUGUACCGACUGGAUGAGCAGCGAACGGGUGAGUAACGCGUGGGGAAUCUGCCUUUGAGCGGGGGACAACAUUUGGAAACGAAUGCUAAUACCGCAUAAAAACUUUAAACACAAGUUUUAAGUUUGAAAGAUGCAAUUGCAUCACUCAAAGAUGAUCCCGCGUUGUAUUAGCUAGUUGGUGAGGUAAAGGCUCACCAAGGCGAUGAUACAUAGCCGACCUGAGAGGGUGAUAGGCCACAUUGGGACUGAGACACGGCCCAAACUCCUACGGGAGGCAGCAGUAGGGAAUCUUCGGCAAUGGACGAAAGUCUGACCGAGCAACGCCGCGUGAGUGAAGAAGGUUUUCGGAUCGUAAAACUCUGUUGGUAGAGAAGAACGUUGGUGAGAGUGGAAAGCUCAUCAAGUGACGGUAACUACCCAGAAAGGGACGGCUAACUACGUG
rnacentral:rRNA from 1 species